rnacentral:rRNA from 1 species
UACGUAGGGUGCGAGCGUUAAUCGGAAUUACUGGGCGUAAAGCGUGCGCAGGUGGUCAUGCAAGACAGAUGUGAAAUCCCCGGGCUUAACCUGGGAAUUGCAUUUGUGACUGCAUGGCUAGAGUGUGGCAGAGGGGGAUGGAAUUCCGCGUGUAGCAGUGAAAUGCGUAGAUAUCAAGUGGAACACCAGUGGCGAAGGCGAAUCCCUGGAAAAUACCUGACACUGAGGCACGAAAGCUAGGGGAGCAAACAGG